GGAUGUAAGGGCAAUCGGGCUGUGCCAUGUGUGACUGCAUUGAUCACCAGGGUUGAUUUGUGGGAUCAGGGCAGUCAUCCUUUUCUUCCCUAACUGCUACAGUGCAUUCCUCCCCAUUUUAAGAGGAGAAUCAUUCUCCUGUCAAGUGUGUAAGAAUAGCUGUGCUCCCCUGCUACAACCUUCAAACAGGAUUUCAAAGACUAAUAAGGCUUUUGUGUCUCCAAACCAAAGGCGACCUCUCCUUUCACAGUGU
ensembl:misc_RNA 7SK 7SK RNA